AUGACUGCCAUCUCUGGUGUGUUAGCAAGCCUGGACACUGACUACCAUCUCUGCCCAUCUUCGACCUUCUCCAUCAGUUUCAUUGUCCAAGAGGCUGCCCGGCAGGAACUGUGCAAGAGCUCCCUGCCCUUGGGCUUGCAGCUGGGCUCGGCUAAGAGGAAGCACCGGCAGGAGGUCCUCCAGAAGGGCUGGAGCAAAGUGAGCCGCCGCGGAGUGCAGCCGAGCAGAUCAGAUCCAGGAGCGCGGUUACCGGGCGGGCUGGGUCUAUGGUCGCUCCGCGGGCCGCUCCGCCGGCUGGUGCCUUUUUUUAAUCAGGGCAAGGAACUUUUGGCAGAGCUCCCAUUAUUUACAAUGGAUUUUGGAUAAACAAGAUCUGUUGAAGGAACGCCAGAAGGACUUCAAGUUUCUCUCAGAAGAAGAGUAUUGGAAAUUACAGAUAUUUUUUGCAAAUGUUAUUCAAGCAUUAGGUGAACAUCUUAAAUUAAGACAAGUUAUUGCCACUGCUACGGUCUAUUUCAAGAGAUUCUAUGCCAGGUAUUCUCUGAAAAGUAUAGAUCCUGGAUUAAUGGCUCCUGCAUGUGUGUUUUUGGCAUCCAAAGUAGAGGAAUUUGGAGUAGUCUCAAAUACAAGAUUGAUUUCUGCUGCUACUUCUGUAUUAAAAACUAGAUUUUCAUUUGCCUUUCCAAAGGAAUUUCCUUAUAGGAUGAACCAUAUAUUAGAAUGUGAAUUCUGUCUUUUAGAACUAACGGAUUGUUGCUUGAUAGUGUAUCAUCCUUAUAGACCUUUGCUCCAGUAUGUGCAGGACAUGGGCCAAGAAGACAUGUUGCUUCCCCUUGCAUGGAGGAUAGUGAGUGAUACCUACAGAACGGAUCUUUGCCUGCUGUAUCCUCCUUUCAUGAUAGCUUUAGCUUGUCUACAUGUAGCCUGUGCUGUACAGCAGAAAGGUGCCAGACAGUGGUUUGCUGAGCUUUCUGUGGAUAUGGAGAAGAUUUUGGAAAUAAUCAGGGUUAUUCUAAAACUACAUGAGCAGUGGAAGAAUUUUGAUGAGAGAAAAGAGAUGGCAACUAUUCUUAGUCAGAUGCCAAAACCAAAACCUCCUCCGAACAGUGAAGGAGAGCAGGGUCCAAACGGAAUUCAGAGCUCUAGCUACAGCCAAUCUUAAGACAUUCCGAAGAAUUCCAUAGUGGACCAGUUGGGAAAUAAACCAUCGGACAGAUUUCAGUUAUGUCUUCAAUGGAACACAAAUGAAAAUGAAGAGCUUGUUUCUGUCAAGCAUAUUGGGAAGUGAUUUUAUUUUUGCAAAAUAAGUUUUCCUU